CUGGGGAAUCCGACUGCAUGCUUUAUACUCAUACGCUGUGAAUAUCCGCCGCACAUCCAGUGGAGAGCCUGGUUAUAUUUCGCUGCGACUGAACGAUCCGCAUCAGCGUGUGUCAUGUCGAGGAUUUUGAAGCGAAAGCAAAGCGCUCCUUCGUGGAGCCUAGACAGGUACAGCAUUACCGUCGUCAGCUUGUGCAGUGAGCUUCCGGAUUAAGUCUCGUAAAGAGCGCAACCCGCACUAUACGUUAUGUCACUCACAGGGCACUGCCGGCGGUAAGCCGGAGGAAUGGGGGGAGGUUGUCAAGUCAGCAUGGCCUUUAGAGGCAGGGCUACACACACGCCCCAGUGGUCAUUACAAAGGGCAGCGAAGCCCUGAGGUGGAGCGAAUUCCAGCAAAGCUGGUUGUAGUUCUACUUGCAGGCUCCCACCCGCAUGCAUGAAGCAGGAUUUGUUAGUAGACGGGCGUCAGCCAUAUUACGGCGAAUUCGUCCCCGGGGGAUCGUCACGACGCGCAUCCAGUCAUGGGAGUCUUUACCGCUCGACGCCAGUGCCCUA
rnacentral:rRNA from 1 species